rnacentral:rRNA from 1 species
UACGGGGGGGGCAAGCGUUGUUCGGAAUUACUGGGCGUAAAGGGCGUGUAGGUGGCCAACUAAGUCCGACGUGAAAUCCCCAGGCUUAACCUGGGAACUGCGUCGGAUACUGGAUGGCUUGAAUUCGGGAGAGGGAUGCAGAAUUCCAGGUGUAGCGGUGAAAUGCGUAGAGAUCCGGAGGAACCCCAGAGGCGAAGGCGGCGCCCUGGCUCGCAACUGACGCUCAGACACGACAGCAUGGGGAGCGAACGGG